AUUGAACGCUGGCGGCAUGCUUUACACAUGCAAGUCGAACGGUAACAGGUUAAGCUGACGAGUGGCGAACGGGUGAGUAAUGCAUCGGAACGUGCCCGAUCGUGGGGGAUAACGCAGCGAAAGCUGCGCUAAUACCGCAUACGAUCUGAGGAUGAAAGCGGGGGACCGUAAGGCCUCGCGCGAUCGGAGCGGCCGAUGUCAGAUUAGGUAGUUGGUGGGGUAAAGGCUCACCAAGCCGACGAUCUGUAGCUGGUCUGAGAGGACGACCAGCCACACUGGGACUGAGCAACGGCCCAGACUCCUACGGGAGGCAGCAGUGGGGAAUUUUGGACAAUGGGCGCAAGCCUGAUCCAGCAAUGCCGCGUGCAGGAAGAAGGCCUUCGGGUUGUAAACUGCUUUUGUACGGAGCGAAAAGGCUCUCUCUAAUACAGGGGGCUCAUGACGGUACCGUAAGAAUAAGCACCGGCUAACUACGUGCCAGCAGCCGCCGUAA
rnacentral:rRNA from 1 species